UUACACAUAAAUAGCAAAAAAAAUAACAAUUAUAAACAUUUUUCUUUUGCCACACAACUCCAAGCAGGGAGACAAUUUAUCUGCCAAGAUAAGCAACACCUUGACAUGCAUUUGCAACCAAAUAAGCUAAUCAACAUGCACCAAAAUGUAAAUCAUGAAUUUAUCUGCCAAGAUAAGCAACACCUUGACAUGCAUUUGCAACCAAAUAAGCUAAUCAACAUGCACCAAAAUGUAAAUCAUGUCAUUUGAAUAACUAAGUGAUGGCAUAUUUUCUUUAAAAACAAAGGCAAGAUCUAUGUUCCAAGUAAAUCUUUUCAAAACAAAAUAUCAUGAAUAAAAAGGUACAAUAUAAAGAAUGUGAAAAUUACCACUGCCGGCGGAAGAACCUGGAGAGAGUAAGCCCGGCUAUUAUGUUAUUAUUUUAGAGUUGUUGUAAAGAAACUUGAGCAUAGUCAUGUAGUUGUUACCGUCGCCGUAAACAUGACCGAACCGAAAUAAAUCUUCCCCUAAACUUGCAAGAACAAACUCGGCGAAGUGACUCAACCUCGUCAGUAUGGUUGCUUGAAGGUUGACGUCGUGGAGCAUGGUUACUGAGUUUAUUCAUACGGCGAUGUCGUGGUAUGGUGAAGGAAGUGGAAUACAUCGACGAAAUCUUAUGUUAGAUGCGGUGGCCGGUCAUGUGUGUUUGACAAGUAGAUGAUGGUGGACAUGAAGGUUGUUUCGGGGUGAGUCGGAAGUGAAU
rnacentral:lncRNA from 1 species